UAUUAAAUAUUUUUUUAUUGUUACAGGUCAGAUACUUUAUACAAAACGGAAAAAGGAAUUUCAGGUUCAUAUUCUUCUUGUCUUCAAACACCGAUUUAAUGGUGAUAAUGGAGGGCUUCGAUGG